rnacentral:rRNA from 1 species
GACAGAGGGUGCAAACGUUGUUCGGAAUUACUGGGCGUAAAGCGCGUGUAGGCGGCUAAGUAAGUCGGGCGUGAAAUCCCACGGCUCAACCGUGGAAGUGCACUCGAAACUGCAUAGCUAGAGUCCUGGAGAGGAAGGUGGAAUGCUUGGUGUAGAGGUGAAAUUCGUAGAUAUCAAGCGGAACACCGGUGGCGAAGGCGGCCUUCUGGGUCGACCCUGACGCUGAGAGGCGAAAGCGUGGGGAGCGAACGGGAUUGAGAUACC